rnacentral:rRNA from 1 species
UACGUAGGGUGCAAGCGUUGUCCGGAAUUAUUGGGCGUAAAGAGCUCGUAGGCGGUCUGUCGCGUCGGCUGUGAAAUCCCGGAGCUCAACUCCGGGUCUGCAGUCGAUACGGGCAGACUGGAGUUCGGCAGGGGAGACUGGAAUUCCUGGUGUAGCGGUGAAAUGCGCAGAUAUCAGGAGGAACACCGGUGGCGAAGGCGGGUCUCUGGGCCGAUACUGACGCUGAGGCGCGAAAGCCAGGGGAGCAAACGGG